AAAUUGAAGAGUUUGAUCAUGGCUCAGAUUGAACGCUGGCGGCAGGCCUAACACAUGCAAGUCGAACGGUAGCACAGAGAGCUUGCUCUUGGGUGACGAGUGGCGGACGGGUGAGUAAUGUCUGGGAAACUGCCUGAUGGAGGGGGAUAACUACUGGAAACGGUGGCUAAUACCGCAUAAUGUCGCAAGACCAAAGA
rnacentral:rRNA from 1 species